rnacentral:rRNA from 1 species
CCGUUGUACACACCGCCGUCACACCACGAAAGUUGCUUGCAACCGAAGUCGGUAAUCCAACCCGCAAGGGAGGUAGCCGCCGAAGUUGUGAGCAGUAAUUGGGUG